rnacentral:rRNA from 1 species
GGGAAUCUUCCGCAAUGGGCGAAAGCCUGAUGGAGCAACGCCGCGUGAGUGAAGAAGGUCUUCGGAUUGUAAAGCUCUGUCCUUAGGGAAGAACCGUGGGUAUAGAAAAUGAUAUCCACCUGACGGUACCUUUGGAGGAAGCACUGGCUAACUACGAGCCAGCAGCCGCGGUAAUACGUAGAGUGCAAGCGUUGUCCGGAAUUAUUGGGCGUAAAGGGUACGCAGGCGGAUAAUCAAGUCAAGCGUGAAAGGUGUCGGCUUAACCGACAGACUGCGUUUGAAACUGGUUAUCUUGAGUGUAACAGAGGAGAGUGGAAUUCCUAGUGUAGUGGUGAAAUACGUAGAUAUUAGGAAGAACACCAGUGGCGAAGGCGACUCUCUGGGUUAACACUGACGCUGAGGUACGAAAGCUGGGGGAGCGAAUGGGAUUAGAUACCCCAGUAGUC